rnacentral:rRNA from 1 species
GAUGAACGCUAGCGGCAGGCUUAACACAUGCAAGUCGAGGGGCAGCACAUCUUCGGAUGGUGGCGACCGGCGCACGGGUGAGUAACGCGUAUGCAAUCUACCUUUUACAGGGGCAUAGCCCGGGGAAACCCGGAUUAAUAUCCUAUAGUACCAUUAUAUAGCAUUAUAUUAUGGUUAAAGUUUCGGCGGUAAAAGAUGAGCAUGCGUCCUAUUAGCUUGAUGGUAAGGUAACGGCUUACCAUGGCUAUGAUAGGUAGGGGUCCUGAGAGGGAGACCCCCCACACUGGUACUGAGACACGGACCAGACUCCUACGGGAGGCAGCAGUGAGGAAUAUUGGACAAUGGGCGCAAGCCUGAUCCAGCCAUGCCGCGUGCAGGAAGACGGCCCUAUGGGUUGUAAACUGCUUUUAUACGGGAAGAAACACCCCUUCGUGAAGGGACUUGACGGUACCGUAUGAAUAAGGAUCGGCUAACUCCGUGCCAGCAGCCGCGGUAAUACGGAGGA